rnacentral:rRNA from 1 species
AACGAACGCUGGCGGCAUGCCUAACACAUGCAAGUCGAACGAGACCUUCGGGUCUAGUGGCGCACGGGUGCGUAACGCGUGGGAACCUGCCCUUAGGUUCGGAAUAACUCCCCGAAAGGGGUGCUAAAACGGGAUAUUGUCUUGGGACCAAAGAUUUAUCGCCUUUGGAUGGGCCCGCGUUGGAUUAGCUAGUUGGUAGGGUAAAAGCCUACCAAGGCGACGAUCCAUAGCUGGUCUGAGAGGAUGAUCAGCCACACUGGGACUGAGACACGGCCCAGACUCCUACGGGAGGCAGCAGUGGGGAAUAUUGGACAAUGGGCGAAAGCCUGAUCCAGCAAUGCCGCGUGAGUGAUGAAGGCCUUAGGGUUGUAAAGCUCUUUUACCCGGGAUGAUAAUGACAGUACCGGGAGAAUAAGCUCCGGCUAACUCCGUG